ACGGUCGCGUGCUGCAAAGCAUGAGGAAAGUCCGGGCUGCACAGGGCAAGGAUAACGGAUAACGUCCGCCGGGGGUGACCCCAGGAAUAGUGCAACAGAGAUAUACCGCUUUGCUGCUCCCGCAGCAGAGUAAGGGUGGAAAGGCGAGGUAAGAGCUCACCGCGCCCCAUGGUAACAUGGGGGGCCUGUAAACUCUAUCCGCAGCAACGCCGACAGGGACCAUGACCGGCCCGGCCGUCCCGACUGGCGGCUUGAGGCGCGCGGCAACGCGCGUCCCAGAUAGAUGACCGUUCACGACAGAACCCGGCUUACCGCUCCAGU
rnacentral:RNase_P_RNA from 1 species